GAACAAACACUAAUCAGAGGGAAGGAACGAAACCACUUGUGACAAUGAUAAGACAUAUUUACUUUAGAGGGUUACAAGAAAGUAAUGACAGAUAUAUAAAAUACAUGCAAGCCUUUUAAGAUCUAAAGGUUAAUAUGAAAACAUGUACCUUAUCCUAACCAUUCUUCCAUUGAUGCAUAUUUUACAAGAUGUGUCACAAGUGAGUAUAUGCAUGCAGAUAAAUAUCCAAUGACAGCAUCAGGGUCUGGGAAGAAGAUAGAAAGUAAACACUACAUUAACAUGGUGAAUCCUUCCAAUUGUUGCAACCUUGUUGAUAAAAUCCUGUCCAUUAGGAUUGGAUUUACUUAACAUCUUUACAGCUACAAGUUGGCCACUUCGGAGCAUUCCUUUAAAUACAGUACCAAAGCCUCCUUCACCUAAUUCUUCCUUGAAACUUUUGGUCAUCUUACAACUUUCUGAAUAAGAGUACCUUAUUGGCACGAGUUAUUUUUACUGUAGAAAUUCUUCAGCCUUGUCAUACAUUGAUAAAUGUCUCCUAUCAUGCCAUUUAUAAAUCAAGAAUGCAAUCACGAAUGGGGUCCAGAACAUACUUUUUGCUGCAAGUGAAAUUUCUAUCCGGCCAAAAGGCAUUAAAACAAUACCUCAAGCCAUCGAGGAAAGCCAAAGCCACCUCUUGGGUGACAAUCAGCUCUUUCUGCUGUCCAAGCAAUGCAUGCAACUAGCAAGCGAGAUCAAUUUUUGAUGAAGCUAUGACCCGACUUUGAAAUUACAC